rnacentral:rRNA from 1 species
UCGACGCAGUAGCAAUACUGAGUGGCAGACGGGUGAGUAUAAUGUGGGAAUCUGCCUUUUGGUUCGGAAUAACACGAGGAAACUUGUGCUAAUACCGGAUAAGCCUUCACAGGGAAGGUUUUAAUGCCAAAAGAUGAGCCCGCACUUGAUUAGCUAGUUGGUAAGGUAAUAGCUUACCAAGGCAACGAUCAAUAGCUGUUCUUAGAGGAAGACCAGCCACAUUGGGACUGAGACACGGCCCAAACUCCUACGGGAGGCAGCAGUGGGGAAUCUUGCACAAUGGGGGCAACCCUGAUGCAGCGAUGCCGCGUGAGUGAAGAAGGCCUUUGGGUUGUAAAACUCUUUCGUCGGGGAAGAAAAUGACUGUACCCGAAUAAGAAGGUCCGGCUAACUUCGUGCCAGCAGCCGCGGUAAUACGAAGGGACCUAGCGUAGUUCGGAAUUACUGGGCUUAAAGAGUUCGUAGGUGGUUAAAAAAGUUGAUGGUGAAAUCCCAAGGCUCAACCUUGGAACUGCCAUCAAAACUUUUUAGCUAGAGUAUGAUAGAGGAAAGUGGAAUUUCUAGUGUAGAGGUGAAAUUCGUAGAUAUUAGAAAGAACAUCAAAAGCGAAGGCAACUUUCUGGAUCAUUACUGACACUGAGGAACGAAAGCAUGGGUAGCGAAGAGGAUUAGAUACCCUCGUAGUCCAUGCUGUAAACGAUGUGUGCUAGACGUUGGAAACUUAGUUUUCAGUGU